CUUAAUUUUUCAUUUUGGUCCGCUUUCUUUCUCUCUUCUAGCCCGUUUUAUCCGCAAAUCCUCCGCUUACGGUGAAGCUUUAGACCUUUCCUUCUCUAUCCAUCUCUUUCUUUCUUUCAUUUUCUUCUCGAAAUUUAGUUUUGUUCAGAAUUUUCACACGAAAAUUGAAAAAGAGAAGAAAUAAUUAGCCAAGUUGGAAAAGAUUUUCCAGAAGAGAGAGUUGAAAAUAUUAUGAUAUUGAUGACCAUCAAUACAAUCUGUAUCCACGUUAUCGAAUAUGUCAUCAACAAGAUUGAGUUGGAAGAUUUGGCACUUCUGCUUGUUGAGUUACUGUAUCUGUGGAUUCUGUCAAUUCAGUGCUCUCUUUUCCAAGAACAGUUUAUUCAAGUUUUUCUUUUUCUACAAUCUCUGCCUCAGGAAUUUCCAGUUUCUUCUGCUGCUUUUCAAAUGAAGAAAGCUCCUCUCUCAGUGUUUCUCUGGCUGAUCAAUCCUUCUCUAGUUUAAUUUCCUCAGGUUCCUUUGUUGUAUUUUCUGGAUGUGUAGCUGUUAUAGCUGGAGGCUUUUCCUUCUCAGGAGGGGCUUCUUCUGAUUUUCUUUGUGCCUUAAUUUCUAGUAGAGUGCUCUAUUUCCCA